UAUGGCCAUAUCACGUUGAAACACCGGUUUCGAUACGAACACCGAAGUUAAACAACUUCGAGCUUGGGCAGUACUUAGACGGGUGACUACUUGGGAAUAUCAGGUGCUAU